rnacentral:rRNA from 1 species
GACGAACGCUGGCGGCGUGCUUAACACAUGCAAGUCGAACGAGGCCUUUCCUUCGGGGGAGGUUCUAGUGGCGAACGGGUGAGUAACACGUGGGCAACCUGCCCUCAGCUCUGGGAUAACUCCAAGAAAUUGGGGCUAAUACCGGAUAUGUCCGCUGACCGCAUGGUCUGGUGGUGGAAAGAUUUAUCGGCUGGGGAUGGGCCCGCGGCCUAUCAGCUUGUUGGUGGGGUAGUGGCCUACCAAGGCGACGACGGGUAGCCGGCCUGAGAGGGUGACCGGCCACACUGGGACUGAGACACGGCCCAGACUCCUACGGGAGGCAGCAGUGGGGAAUAUUGCGCAAUGGGCGAAAGCCUGACGCAGCGACGCCGCGU